AACUCCUGUUUUAGACGGUGUUGUCUGAGCUACAAGCAACGAAUCAAAACUUUCAACAACGGAUCUCUUGGUUCUGGCAUCGAUGAAGAACGCAGCGAAAUGCGAUAAGUAGUGUGAAUUGCAGAAUUCAGUGAAUCAUCGAAUCUUUGAACGCACAUUGCGCCCCUUGGUAUCCCGAGGGGCAUGCCUGUUCGAGCGUCAUUUCACCACUCAAGCCUGGCUUGGUGUUGGGUGACGUCCAUUUUAAGGACGCGCCUCGAAACGCUCGGCGGCGUGGCACCGGCUUUAAGCGUAGCAGAAUCUUUCGCUUCGAAAGUCGGGGCUCCGUCUGCCGGAAGACCCAU
rnacentral:rRNA from 1 species